rfam:Asian citrus Psyllid, Diaphorina citri - Florida Strain, whole genome shotgun sequence.
GUCAGAGGUAAUAGCACUUUAAAUGCACCAGUUCCCAAUGGAACACUAAAGUUAAGCAACGUUGCACGUGCUUGUUAUCCGGAUCGGUGACUAUCUGGGCAAUCGGGUGCUGCUGGCA